UACGUAGGCAGCAAGCGUUUGUUCGGAAUUACUGGGCGUAAAGAGUGUGUAGGCGGUGCCCUAAGUUUGGUGUGAAAUCUCCCGGCUCAACUGGGAGGGUGCAUCGAAAACUGGGGUGCUCGAGGGUGGGAGAGGUAAGCGGAAUUCCUGGUGUAGCGGUGAAAUGCGUAGAUAUCUGGAGGAACACCGGUGGCGAAGGCGGCAUCCUGGACCGGUAUUGACGCUGAGGCGCGAAAGCCAGGGGAGCAAACGGG
rnacentral:rRNA from 1 species